GAACUUGCAUGAAGAUUUAAAUAAGGAGAAAGAGGACUAAUGCAUAUUUUAGCCUCAAGACUAGUUUUAGCCUCUCUUUAGUCAGGGGUGCUUGAAACUUUAGCCUCUUAAAGAGACUAGUUUUAGUCAGACUAGUUUUAGUCUCUUGGAUCCAAGCACCCUCUUAGAUGCUUUUUUUUGCCUUGGCAUCCUUCAUGUGUAUGCCUUGUCUUAUCGUAACCUCAGAUGCAUUUAUUAAACUUUGGGACACUGAAUUAAAGAAGUAACAACAACGAUAGUUGGAUCUGUCCUCGAAACAUACAAAUAAAAAUUGUGACAUGAAAUGAAUGAAAAAUGAUAAUGAUCUAACAAUCUCCAAAGAUGAAUACUAGUCGUUGGCCAUCUCUAUCUAUAUAUACCACUCCAUUUCUCCAUCUUCAGCCAAGUAGUAGCAUCGAUCUCAAAACACUUCUUGCCACAUAUUAUAAUACCUGGUAGAUAUAUAAGGUAAGAAUAGGAGCAACGCGAAAAUGCACUAGGGAAUAGAAGACAUCAGGAACCAUCAGACUACGGUGGCGAGCCAUCUAAACCUCCUUGCGAGUAUUGUUGCGAUAUUAUCUGAGAGAUUAUGCGAGGUGUAGCUGAUGCUGCUGUUAAAUUGUGAUCUGAAUUCUAAUGAGGUACACUCUGAUCCUAGAUGUAGUGCGAGCGGUGUAAGGCGUUGAAUUGGCGCCGAUGUAGUACCGCUGCCAUUCUUGUGAUCGGCAGGAGAAUGAUUCUGCAUGCAGCUGUUGUACGUCACCUCUAAUCGGAGGGCAUCAAGCCUAGCACCAAUCUUUCGAGACGCAGCUGAUCUACUCUCAAUAUUUGGACUACAAACACAUGUAUACAUGAAUAACCGCAGGCCCUGCUACUGCUCCAAGUUGCCACCGAAUCCAAAAAAAACAAAUCAAGGGAGAACACAUUUUGGAAUGACUGAAUGAAUUUAGCAGACCUCGUGAAUCAACACAAGGCCUCAAGUCUUGAGAAGAACGAAGUUGAUCUGAUCAGCAAAGUACUACUUCAGCAGCGCAAGGUAUAAGAGCAUUACAAUCUUACCCCUUAUACCCGUCUUAAACGUUUGGGCAGGCCUACGGUCGCUGACAGGUCAUAAAAAAUCAACCCAGCCGGGACCCUCAAACGGGCUUCAAACGACGGGCCGGGCUGACGAGCACCCUCUUAUCCAACUCAAAUAUGGAUGGAUAUGUGGGAGCCCGGACACUCCCGGGCACGCCUGCCAUUUCGGCCUGACAGCGUAGCCCCACCUGGACUCACCCUUGAGGUCCAACAGACGCCUUCACCGUCACCGCGGUGUGCACGCCAUGUGGCAUCACUCCGGCUCGCCGCCCAAAGCCAUAGCAUCGUGUUAGCCAUAAUCUUGACUUAGUGUAUGCUGGCCAGGUCCUGUGCCAUUGUGGAGAUGGAGCACGACCAGCGGAUGUGAUGAUGCAGCUAGUACGUUAGUUAGUGCAUGCGCGUGUGCAUGUAUAGUUGGUUAGCCAGGCCGUGGGUUAGUGGCCCGUAAGGUGUCCCGGUGGUUAGCUCGUGAGUGGCACAAACUCUGGGUAGUUUGUUGCUACGGCUGAGUGCGUGGGUGUACUACUUAAGAGGAUCUGGUAUUGUGUAGUUGGAUGUAGAGUACCAGGAGAGAAAACAUGUACUCUCCGAUGGUCUCUCGUGUGGGGACCGGUGUGUUACCGUGUGCCGGUCUGUUGCUAAGCCAUGGCGUCGGUAUGUGCCGAGUCGAGGGAGAGGGGCCUAAGGAAGAUGUAGUCUUCGUCGGAACCGUGAUGUGUGUCGGAUCGAUGUGAGAGUUCUUUCGAGGUAGUGCUGCGGGUGUGCGUGUGUACCUCCAUGUAUUUGUGUUCGAGGGAAUUGAGAUGAAUAGGGGCCAACAUACAGGCUAGUCGUCGAC
rnacentral:lncRNA from 1 species